CUCCCAACCAUUGUGAACUUACCACUUGUUGCCUCGGCAGAACCUACCCUGUAACCUACCCGGGAUCAGCUACCUAGUAGCCGAGUUCGACGUGGGCUACCCUGUAGCGGGCUGCCGGCGGACCACUAAACUCUGUUAUACUAUUGUAAUCUGAGCGUCUUAUUUUAAUAAGUUAAAACUUUCAACAACGGAUCUCUUGGUUCUGGCAUCGAUGAAGAACGCAGCGAAAUGCGAUACGUAAUGUGAAUUGCAGAAUUCAGUGAAUCAUCGAAUCUUUGAACGCACAUUGCGCCCAUUAGUAUUCUAGUGGGCAUGCCUGUUCGAGCGUCAUUUCAACCCUUAAGCCUAGCUUAGUAUUGGGAGUCUAGCCGCAAGGUUAGUUCCUCAAAUCCAACGGCGGAUCUGUGGUAUCCUCUGAGCGUAGUAAAUCUUUUUCUCGCUUUUGUUAGGUGCCGCUGCUCUCAGCCGCUAAACCCC
rnacentral:rRNA from 1 species